rnacentral:lncRNA from 1 species
GAGAAAGAAAUCCGCCCCGAGAUGCACCUGCAGCCCCGCGCCCAUCCGUGCGUGGCUGCGGCUGUGCGUGCCCGCGAACGGGGACCAGCGGCCGCCGAGUCCGUCCACAUCGCCAGGCCAGGAGUCAGAACAAGGACGGGCCUGUGAUGUGUCUGUCUAUGACGAGGAGGACAAUGUCCUAAGGAAUGGAGAGGAAGAAAGUGAAGGGAACCAGGUCCCUGGAUUCCAUGUGGAACAGUAGCCCAGGAUGUGCACUAUGGACUGUUACAAGAGAGAGACAUGAUCUUCCUUAAGGCAUUGAUUUGUCAUGAGUCUCUUUGUUAUAGCCACUUAACGUUACCUUAAUACACCCACUUCAUGGAUAAGUAAAACUGAGGCUUGGAGAAGCCCACAUUGACACAGCAAAGAAGGCUGGGGCUCUUGUGCUGGUUAAAUGGACCUUGAUGUCUUCCAAAUGUUUUCAUGCUGGAUUCUGAGCCACUCUCCUGGCUGCAACUCUGAGGCCGGGCAGACUUUCCGCUGGAAAGAGAACUCAAAUACUGGUGAGAGGUGGAUUUGAAGCCAGGAGCCCCAGGUUUUGGCUCUGCAGGUUUGCACCCAGCUCUGUGGUGUAUGCCCUCACAGGUCACCCA